CCGUGACCAGACUGAAUGCGCUUUUGUGCAUUGUCGGCCAGGGGAGGGAGAGACUUGAGCGACUUCCCGAACGAUGACCUCAGGAACCUGUCCCUGUCCGGCCACGUGGGCUUCGACAGCCUCCCGGACCAGCUGGUCAACAAGUCAACGUCACAGGGCUUCUGCUUCAACAUCCUGUGUGUGGGUGAGACGGGCAUCGGCAAGUCGACGCUGAUGGACACGCUGUUCAACACCAAGUUCGAGAGCGAGCCCGCCACGCACAACGAGCCCGGCGUGCGGUUGAAAGCGCGCAGCUACGAGCUCCAGGAGAGCAACGUGCGCCUCAAGCUGACCAUCGUGGACACGGUGGGCUUCGGCGAUCAGAUCAACAAGGAUGACAGCUACAAGCCCAUAGUGGAAUACAUCGACGCACAGUUCGAAGCCUACCUGCAGGAAGAGCUGAAGAUCAAGCGGUCCCUGUUCAACUACCACGACACGCGGAUCCACGCCUGCCUCUACUUCAUCGCUCCCACCGGACACUCCCUCAAAUCCCUGGACUUGGUCACCAUGAAGAAGCUUGACAGUAAGGUGAACAUCAUCCCCAUCAUUGCCAAGGCUGACACCAUCGCAAAGAACGAGUUGCACAAGUUCAAGAGCAAAAUCAUGAGCGAGCUGGUCAGCAACGGCGUGCAGAUCUACCAGUUCCCGACCGAUGAGGAGACGGUGGCCGAGAUCAAUGCCACCAUGAGUGUCCACCUUCCUUUUGCCGUGGUUGGCAGCACUGAGGAAGUGAAGAUUGGCAACAAGAUGGCCAAAGCCAGGCAGUACCCCUGGGGUGUCGUGCAGGUUGAAAAUGAAAACCAUUGUGACUUUGUGAAGCUGCGGGAGAUGCUGAUCCGAGUGAACAUGGAGGACUUGCGGGAGCAGACGCACACCCGGCACUACGAGCUGUACCGGCGCUGCAAGCUGGAAGAGAUGGGCUUCAAGGACACAGAUCCUGACAGCAAACCUUUCAGUCUGCAAGAGACUUAUGAAGCCAAGAGGAAUGAAUUCCUGGGCGAACUCCAGAAGAAGGAGGAUGAAAUGAGGCAGAUGUUUGUCAUGCGAGUGAAGGAGAAGGAAGCAGAGUUGAAGGAAGCAGAGAAGGAUCUGCACGAAAAGUUUGACCAUCUAAAGAGGACUCACCAAGAAGAGAAGAAAAAGGUGGAAGACAAAAAGAAGGAACUUGAGGAAGAGCUGAACAACUUUCAAAAGAAGAAGGCAGCAGCUCAGCUAUUACAGUCACAGGCUCAGCAGGCAGGUUCUCAACAAACCAAGAAAGACAAGGACAAGAAAAACUUCUUCUUUAUGUAACCGUCACCUUGCCAAAGCCCCCACACCCUCUCUCCCAGUGGACCGCAGGGCACUGGAAGAGCUGCGGAUCCGGGCCCCCCUGCCAGGAGAAGAUUCCAUCUCAUUCCUCCAUCACGUCUGCCCUCCUCUCCUUCCCCCUUUGUUCCCACCCGUGCGUCUGAGGGUGUGCUGUGCUGUGUGUCUGUGCGGGAUCUGCCCGCUCCGACAGCGUCCAGGCUUCCAGCACUGCCAGAGGGAACGGCCGCCGGAGGGAGCUCGGCCGCACUGUGACUCCUUGCUCUGGCUCUGUAGAGUUGUGCUGUGCUGCUGCCUUGAGUCCUGCUUGCAGCUCUGGAGCUCGCGUCUGCGGGAGGACUUAGCGGAGUUAGAGAAGGACACUAAUGGGAGUUGGGCUGGAGCAGCAGCGUGCCAGGUGAGGCGGCUCCCUUUGGAGAGGGAAAGGCAGAGGUGAGGCACGGUCCAGCCCUGCUGCGAGCAGGAGCUGCCGGCACACGGCCUCUAGAGGUCCCCUGCAGCCCAAAUUUAUUUGUGACUGUUGGAGGCUCCAUGGCGGUGCGCGCAGAGCUGCCGGUCUCCAAAUCCUCGCAAACCGGACUCAGCUCGAAGGGAAUGGGCUCAAAACAUGGAGUAGCUUUCUUACAGAGCGGGUACUCAACUUGCGGGGCUUUUUUUUGCCCCAGGUUGUUGAGGUGGCCGGUGUCAGUAGAAGGUUUUGGGGUUGGUUUGGGGUUUUUUAAGGGGAAAUUCAGGGAGAACAGGUCCAUGAGGAAAACAGUCAGACUCCGCUGGUAGUGGAUAAAAGGCGGAGGGAAGGGAGCAGAAGGCACAGAGCUACCAGCGCUGUCUGUGGAACGAGGGGCGGAGCUGUCAGAGGCUGCUGGGGGCUUUCCCACACCCCAGGGCUGGCGACGUGACCUUCAGCUGCUUCCUGCAUGGCUGCAGCUCUUGGAGAAGAGGUGUCAGCGUGGGGAGGGGGCGGCUCAGGGAGGUUAUUUGUCAUCUAAGUGUCCCCUAGCAGAACUGGGAAAGCCACUUCAUCCACUCCCAGUUGAAAAGUUGUGCUUUGGGGUUAACCCUUGUGUGCCUCCUGCGGAGGAUUCAUGCUCUCAUGUCUGGAGGGCAAAUCCUUCAGGGGCUCAGGGAGGUCAGGUGCUGCAGGGAGCAGCAGAGUGUGUGAGGGUGAGCUGGGAUUGCAGCUGAAGGCUUGGGAACAAGCAGCGAUGCUCUGCUGGGGUGUGGCUGCUGUGCCUGGGGAGCUGCCUGGGCUUGGGGCACUGAGCAGACACUUGGGGUUGGGAAUGCAGUGGUUUUAUCCCAGUGCUCCUGUGGGAGAUGCUGGCUCCUGGCCUGCCCUGCUCUGGGCCUCCCUGGAGCACAGACCCCGUGCUGGCACCUCGGGCUGGUCCGUGACGUGAAGCACUGGGGUGCUGUGAGGUUUGUGGGAAGGUCACAUGAAUGUGAGGAGUGAAGGGCAUCAGGGAAUGUUUUCCUGUGGGAAACAAGGAGCCCUGGCAGUGCUCCAGUCUGGCCCUGUGCUCCAGCAGUGGAGCAGCAUAGAAGGCAGCCUGCUGCUGAAGGUGGUGGGGCUGGAGGGGGCAGCUGCUGCACUUGCUCCAGGGAAGAGCAAAACCAAUGGGAUGCUGCUCUGCCACAGCCAGAGAGGUGCCAAGCAUCCAGGGCCUAGGCCAGGACAGCAGGACACUGCAGAGGUGGCUCCCCUGGACCAGGGACAGGGUUUGUGCACAGCACUGAGGAAAUAAAACGUGUCUGUCUCUCUCUGCAGCCCACUGGGGCUGGGCCAUGCCUGUGUUUGGGACUGGGGAGUGGGAAAGCUGCCUGGGCAGCCAGGGACACCGAGUCCUGCCUCUGCAGGGGUUGGCUGCCCUGGGUUUGCCAAGUCAGCCCUGUGGCUUGGCCAGCUCCAGGCAGCACAAGGAGGCCAGGAAGGGUUUGGGGCAGUUUGGGAGAGCCACAGUGAUGCUGUUAAUUGGGGGUGUUUUGGAAGGCAGAGCUCUCCCCUCAAGGCUAACGCGAGCUGGGGCAGUGCAUGACCUGCUGCUGUCCUGUGGCUUUGGGAGUAGGAAACGGUGACAAGGACACAGUUACAUUCCCAGAGUGACAUGCAGCCAUGGCUGCAGCACACCUGGGACAGCAAACUGCCCGUGUCCUGUACUGAGACUGGGGAAUGCAGGAAUAUGCCCUGAAACCUGGGGUGGAAAGUGGAUGGGGACGGGGAGAAGCCAGUGUAAUUUAACUGGGAAAAUGUGUAACAUGCCAUGGGCUGGAAGCAGGGAGCCCCAGAACUGGGAAUAUCAUGCAGUGGGGCAGGGUGCUUUGCUUGGGGAUGUGCUUGUGACACCUUGAGCCUGCUCGGCAGCCUGGCUUUGGAAAACUGAGCCGUGGGAUGAGAAGGUCAGGGACUGAAAAUACUGUAAGGACGGCAGGAAGGGCUGGAAGGGAAGGAAGACACACCCUGCUGAGAAAUGUGGGCUUGAGGGGGAAUUUUUGAGCCAUGGCAGGAAGAAGCUGGAACCCAAGAGAGGUAUCGUGGUGGAGUGCUGCAGUAAGAGGGCACCUCAGGAGGCAGGGAGGAAGGGCUCCAGGACAGGGGACGUGGAGCAGUGUCCCUGCCAGGCACUCAGCCUAGAAGGGCAGCAGCCUGGAGUGAGCACCAGAGCCAAAGCUGGAACUGCUGCAGAGACAACGAGUUCAUGCUGGGUGACUCUCCCGGCUGCCCAGCACCUCUCAGGUCACCUUUCCAGGCGUCUGGCACAGGGCAGCUCCCUGGCAGCCUCCAGCUAAAGCCAAGCCAGGUCUUGGGGGAAAAGCACAAGGCCAGAGUGGGAAUCCAGGACAACUUUCUUUAUUGCUACCAGAAGGCUUUCAUCAGUACAAUGGCUCUGGUUACAAUACCUUCCUCAGGGCUGUGGAGAGAGCUUACAGUCGGGACGGGGUGUUCUGAGAACAGGGUGUCACACGGAGGAGACGCGUUACAGGUCAGACUCUUGGUUAGAACUUACAUGAACACAAAACUCGAGGGCUGGGGUGUUUUGUUUGGGUUCUGUGCCUGAUGUUGACACACGUUCCAAACCUCAGGUGUCCGCAGCUGCCCCGGCACCUCACCCAGCAGUGCUGGGGAACGUGCAGGGAGAACCGGGCUCUGCACAAUUCAAGGGUUACAUCUGAUGGAGAGAACCAAGCCUUGGUGAGAAUCCACACUCAGUGCUACACAGCAAGAAAAAAACGGUUUCGUUCUAGUGAUGCAAAACCCAGUAACUGCUUUUUGUGUUGGGACAGACAAACUGGUUUAACAGGGAGAAGUCUCUGUGCGAGGCACAGGGCACCUUCACACUCCUGUGGGAAUUACUGAAGUGUGGAGCAGCUUGCAAGCAUUGGUUUACGUUUUUUUCCUGCCCAAUAUUUUGUUUAAAUCCAGUUUUUCAAUAUUAUCACAUUUAAACACCCAACUAUUAACAAAAGAGGUUUUCUGUUUAGAAGGGCAAAAUAAAGCUGUGGUGGAGGUGGGGCAGGACAGAAUGUCAUGCAUGAGACUGGCUGAGAACUAAAAGAGGAGCAGGCAGAAAGGGAGCAAGGAGCAGGUGGGAAUGGGAUCAGAGAGGCAUUAGUUGGCUGGGAAACCCGGAACGGCUCCGCAGGGCUGAUGUGAGCUCUCGGACGUGGAGAAUGGGUUACAACACACAGGAGCAGAAAAACAGUGGAACCGACAACACUAGAAAGGAACAGGUUUUUGCUACUUUUUUUGUUUGCUUUUUGGGUCUUUUUUUAGAUUUUUAUACUUUUUUGUGUUUUUAAGUGCUUAAAUAGUGGAACUAUAAUUAGCCGCACAAGAAAUAAAAUUCAAAAAAGGGUCGGGAUUUUUUUUUUUCCUGGUUUUCUUUUGGCUCCCUUCAGUUCAGCCUGACAAGGUACGGCCCCUUCUCACCCCGCUGAGGCCACGGGCUGCCAGGUCCCGUGGUGGCACUGGCAGCUACAUGACAGACACCGGCUGCAGAGGCGGGCAGGGGGACACGCUGCCCUCCUGCCGCGAGACGUCGGCGCCGCAAACGGAGCCCAUGCUCUCCAGGGCCACCGCCUCCGGAGCCAGCUCUUCGUUGUAGAGGCGCUUGAUGCCAUCGUAGAAGUCGUCCACUUCCAUCUCUUCCACCUUGCGCUUGGCGGAGCCGGCCUUGCAGCCGCCGGCGGGGGCGGGCAGGCGCGGGCAGAGCGCGGCUGUAGCUGUGACGGGCGCUUCUGGCCGGCCGUUGUCCUGGGAGAAACCUGGCCCUGGGACAGAGGAGGGCUGGCGGUGGAACGCUCCUCUGUUACAGGUCACCAGGGUCUGCUGGAGGGGACUGUAGACAUAUACAGAGUUGGGCAGCAGAGAAGGCUGCAGAGUGGAAAGGUGAUGUGCCACCAGCUCCCGGCAGUGGAUCAGCUGCGAGCUGUCCAUCUGGAGUGGGAAGACAACAAAGGUACAGCUGCUGUGGGAUCGCUGGCAGGGUGAGAGAGGGCGUGGGCUCCCAGCACCCCGGCCACCUGUGCGCCCUCACUUGCCAACCACCACGGUGACUUCCCAAGUACACCCCCUGCUCCUUCCUGCACCUUGUGGGAAGCAGGCACAACUUUGAGAUACUGAAGGAUUCCACUGCCUGUUGUUAGCAGCUGGAGUGUGCUCCCAGAGUACCUGCAAGGUGCCCUGGAUGCUGUGAAUGAAUGGCAGAGCCACUAACAAGUGGAAUUGCUCCCUGGUGUGUUUUCUCCCUGGUGCAGCGAGGGCCUGUGUACAUCAGGGCACACGGCUCCUUCCUGUCACGCAGUGCAGGUGGUCAGGACUGAGACCUGGCAGCACUGUCCCUCCAGCUGUCCCCACAGGAGCAGAGCACUGUCAGCCAUUGCAGCAAGAAGCCACAAAGCCCCAGCUGCCCUGGAGCACAGAGCAGCGCGUUGCCCCAGUCCCUCCCCACUCCGAGUGCACUGCCCUCCUCACCUGUGCCUUCUGGAGCAGCUCGAUGAUGAGAGCCAGCCAGUCGGGGAGCAGCUUCUCCAGCUCCAGGCUGACGAUGGCCAGCGCCAGCAUGGAGCCCUUGAACUGCAGCAGCUGGAAACAGGCCAUGCAGUGCAGCAGCUGCUUGGUCAGCGCCGCCACGUGCUGCGAGGGGCUCGGCGUGGGCAGCAGGGCCAGGAGCUGCGGCCUGCUGGACACCGCCACGGCGUGGAACUGUGGGACACAAGCACAGGGGCAGCUGGUGGCGCUGGCCAGGCCACGGCUCAGCCGGGGAACAGUCUGCACACACGGGGUCCUGCAGCCUGACCCUGGAGGCAACUUCUGCCCCGUGGGGAAAACCCGACCUGCCGAAGCCACCAAGGCUUGGUGCAGCCCUUCUGGUGGGACCUGCUUGGCACCAGGUUCUAGGGCUCUGCAAAAGGCCUUCCCAUCCACCCUUCUCUCUCCAGCGCACACGUGGCAUGCAGGGCUCCCAGACAAACUCCUCAGGGAAGGAGCGAGGAUAACAUUCCACAGAGAAUCUCAGGACACCUCCCUUGAUCUCCUCUCAUGUGUGGAUCUGACUCUUGGCCAUGCAGGUCUGCAGCAGGCAUGGAUCCACACUCACAGCCCGCCCUUGGGGCUUUCUCCAUGGCUGUACUCCUUGUUGCCCUGCUGCCUGGUGUUUAGCUUUGUGGAAAACCAUUGGCAGUGAAGAGUUAGGGGCACAAUUUCCAGGAGCUGUGAAUCUGGCUGAACACACCCCAGACCAGACUAAAGGGUCACAUGGCAGGCUCACGUUUUGGAUAUUGCACUUCAAGAGUGACAAGUGUCCUCUGGAAUUCUCUGGCAAGGCAUUUUCUUUC